UACAUAUCAGACCUAGUGCAAAAUUGUAUUGCAUUUAACACACUAACGUUAACUGAUUGAUUGAAUAUAUUAUUGUGUAUUCACAUAAUUAUAGUGAUAUUCAUAUCCAUGCUUUUGCCUGUUUUCACCACGAGUGAACACCAGCGCAGCACCUUUUGCGCAUGCGUUUGUGUACUGUCRCCUGACAAAGMCAGAAAUUUCAGCGAAACUAUUUGGAAAAGUUCACCGCUAUAACUUACUCCUUCCAGAAUCAUCUUGAACGAUAGAAUAUACUUGAUAGAACUUUCCAACAACACGUUCCGUUGGUGGGAUUCAUAUUUUAUUWWAUUUAUUUACSCAUUGUGUUGGUAAAUAAAUAUUGUAUGCUUCUCUUUAGAUCCUCUUUCUCUACGAAAUCAGAUUAUUUAAAAAAUGAUUUGGACCCAUCCAAUAUUUAMUUAUUGAUAAUCAAUAGUAUAGUCAAAGAUGGUUUAGAAAUUCUGUGGUAUAACGUUCAGUGCAGRUCUGAUUUUAUCCACCAGGUGGCUAUAUUGCACCAACAUAAAUUGAAAAGAGGCAGUGCUGAACUGUAAACUUCACGAGUCCCAGUCGAAUUGAUUGACAUAAUAUCAUAAACGGUACAAUGAUAUGUGUUUCUGCUGCUGAUGCAAAUGUUUGUUGAAAAAUGCCCUAACUUGUAUUUUUACACCCCUUCACUAUGUUUCACUCUGAGACUGCUUGCCGAUCUAAUUCCAACCCACUAUGGAUCAGACAUGGAUGUUGAAAUGGGUGUGGAUAUAAAGGAUGUUUUUAUGUUGCAAUAGAAUAGCUCCUAUAACAAUAUCUGAAAGGUUGUAAAAAUCUCGGUGGACACAACAGAAUUCUCCUUUCCACACUCCCUGCACCACCUUUGAUAGAAACACCCCUAGACUGAAAUGUUAAAUCKUUUUAAAGAUUCCUUUUUUUAAGAGGGCAUAAUGUCUUUCAAAUUCAGAGUGAAACGAGGUGACACAUUUUCUCAGGGGUUAUUGGAGGAAUGAUGUGGUGUGCUAAUAUUCACCCAGAGAGACAAAGAAGUCUCUUUGUGCUCAAGGUUGUGAUUUYGCCUCAUUUCCUUCUCUAAUGGAAAUKUCAAACAGCUAAUGCUUACUGUAUGACUAGUAUGGACCCUAAUGCUCUCUCUCUCCCUGUCUGUCUCUGUCUCUGUCCCCCCUCUCUUCUAUAGGCAUAUGAGGUGGAGGACCUGACUGCAACAGACAUCCCCUGACUGCUCUGUGUGUCUAGACACAACACCUACAGUACUGUCUGUCUGUGUCUCUUCCUGUUUGUCACUGAUCUACCACCCUCUUUAUGGARCUGUCUCACCUUCUCUUCMAGUCUUGCUCUUUUUUAAGAGGAAUUGUUCUUUUAAUUACGUUUCAAUUUCAGAGAAACUCAUUAAUAACAAUUAUUUGAGUUUAAUCCAUUCUCCCUGCAGGCUUUCUUAAUGAUCUUUCUAUCUUGAUCCCUAUAUGUCCAUUUGAAUCUCUCUUUCUCCUUUCUGGGAUUUGCAACCCUCUUCAAAGGUCAGAUAUUCCCUAUCUCUACAUGUAGUCAACCUGCAUAAAGCUGUGUUAACCCCAAUUGGCUGUGAGCCAGCCUAUACACACUAACUCGUUUAAUCAGCAGUCAUCUGAUCUGGCCAAUACUCACAGUGUGCCCAAGCAUACUGUGAUAAUUAUCAUAUAAAUUGAUUUUAUGCUAAUGAUAUGAGCUGUUAUAUUCUGAAAUCCAGAGAUAAGUGAAAAUGAGAGGAAGGAACUUGACAGUGAGAGGAUUUGGGAUUUUACUUUAUCUGACUGACACCUCUCUUUACCCUCACCCACUUCUCUGUCCUUUCUUUUUCCCCUUUUCUCUUUCAUGAAGCUGCUGGCUUUGGGAGGAGGGUGCUGGUCCUUGACUUGGUGGCUCCCACCCCUAAAGGCACUAAAUGGGGUCUAGCRGGUUCCAGUGUGAACAUGGGCAGUAUUCCCAGGAAGCUCCUGCACCAAGCCUCUGCUGGGAAAAGCCAUCCAGGAUGCCCUGAAGUACGGCUGGAAGUUUGAGGAACAGGUGUCCCAUGGCUAGGGUGAAAUGGUGGAGGCGGUACAACAACAUGUGAAGUCUGUGAGCUUUGAGCUGAGGAGGGAGCUGAGGGACAGUGAUGUCACCUACCUGAACGCCCAUGGAGAGAUACUGGAGCCACACACUGUACAGGCGACAAGAUYUCAACGGGAGGAGGACCUAUCACACAUCAGAGACACUCGUCAUCGCCACGGGGGACAGGGCACAAUACCUGAACAUAC